rnacentral:rRNA from 1 species
UACGUAGGGGGCAAGCGUUGUCCGGAUUUAUUGGGCGUAAAGAGCGUGUAGGCGGUCAGGUAGGUCCGUUGUGAAAACUCGAGGCUCAACCUCGAGACGCCGAUGGAAACCAUCUGACUAGAGUCCGGAAGAGGAGAGUGGAAUUCCUGGUGUAGCGGUGAAAUGCGCAGAUAUCAGGAAGAACGCGCGUGGCUAAGGCCGCUCUCUGGGACGGUACUGACGCUGAGACGCGAAAGCGUGGGGAGCGAACAGG